AUCGCUUCUCCGCCUUUUGGCUAAGAUCAAGUGUAAUAUCUGUCCUUUCUGCAUAUGAUGACACAGUACGUUGAAAGGAUUAAAAAAUGGGCUUUUGACUCAGGCAGACCUGGGUUCAUCUCCUGCUUCUGACACUGCCUGGCCCUGUGUCCCUGGGCAAGCUAUA
ensembl:snRNA U2 U2 spliceosomal RNA